GUGAGUAACACGUAUCCAACCUGCCGAUGACUCGGGGAUAGCCUUUCGAAAGAAAGAUUAAUACCCGAUGGCAUAGUUCUUCCGCAUGGUGGAACUAUUAAAGAAUUUCGGUCAUCGAUGGGGAUGCGUUCCAUUAGGUUGUUGGCGGGGUAACGGCCCACCAAGCCUUCGAUGGAUAGGGGUUCUGAGAGGAAGGUCCCCCACAUUGGAACUGAGACACGGUCCAAACUCCUACGGGAGGCAGCAGUGAGGAAUAUUGGUCAAUGGACGAGAGUCUGAACCAGCCAAGUAGCGUGAAGGAUGACUGCCCUAUGGGUUGUAAACUUCUUUUAUACGGGAAUAAAGUGAGGCACGCGUGCCUUUUUGUAUGUACCGUAUGAAUAAGGAUCGGCUAACUCCGUGCCAGCAGCCGCGGUAAUACGGAGGAUCCGAGCGUUAUCCGGAUUUAUUGGGUUUAAAGGGAGCGUAGGCGGACGCUUAAGUCAGUUGUGAAAGUUUGCGGCUCAACCGUAAAAUUGCAGUUGAUACUGGGUGUCUUGAGUACAGUAGAGGCAGGCGGAAUUCGUGGUGUAGCGGUGAAAUGCUUAGAUAUCACGAAGAACUCCGAUUGCGAAGGCAGCCUGCUGGACUGUAACUGACGCUGAUGCUCGAAAGUGUGGGUAUCAAACAGGAUUAGAUACCCUGGUAGUCCACACAGUAAACGAUGAAUACUCGCUGUU
rnacentral:rRNA from 1 species